rnacentral:tRNA from 1 species
ACCUGGCUGGCUCAGUUGGUAUAGCAUGUGACUCUUGAUCUCAAGGUUGUGAGUUCGAGCCCCAUGUUGGGCA